UGGGAAAACAUAGUCACGCCGCCAUGUCCCAUCCACACGCAAGUGGCGACCUCCUUUAUGCCGCCGAUCUUCAGAGCUCCGCCCCUCUUCCUCCCGCUCCUCCUCUCACCGCCGUCCUCUCUUCUGGUAUCCCUAGUUCACUCGUCGGCAUCACCUCUGCAACCUCGACCCUCUCUUUCCACGGACAUACAGGGUCAGGAGCCAGCAAUCUCUCCACCCACACUAGCGGUCAUGGCGCUCCCGCGGCGGCUAGAGACGAACUCCUCUCCUGCGUGAAGACCCCGCUUAUUUGUGCAGCCUGCAGAAUUCUAGUUCACGCAGGGAUACAUGGUCAGGGCAACCAUUUCCGAUGAUUUUUGAAGCUGGACAACAAAAAUAUCCUUUCGGCGGUUUUUGGGGAAGCCUUCUUCAUGCCCUGAAAUUCAAUCACUUUUACCAUGAUACUGUUCACCAGUUUCGCCGACAUAUCAUGAAUAUGUGCUCUACAGCAAAGAGGGAGAGGAUGAUCCGACAAAAUAUACCCCCUGGCAGUAUCGUGCCAUCUGGACAGGACAUGCAGCUAGUUGAAAUAUCUGUUGUGGAUGCGAAAGUUCCGGUUUCAUCAAGUUUAUUAUCUUCUGAUGCCAAACCAUGCCCUCUCAAGUCGUGGAUGGAUAUCUAAGGAGAAGUUAAUAUGGUGGCCUGCGAGCUCAUGUACUGUUAACUGUAUACAGGAUCUUAUAGGUAGAUAGAUGCCAAUUAGAUAGACAAUGCAUUAAGGAUUUAAGUGAGUUUUAUCCAGUCGAGUCCGAUCUUCCCUUUGUAAUAGAUCUACAGUG